rnacentral:lncRNA from 1 species
CUUGGAGCCUGGAGAACAAAGUGAGUGGGUCUUUCCAGCUGCCUGUGAAAAAGGGAAGGUGAGGAAUGCACACCAUCCAGGGCUUUCUGAGAUACCCAGUAUCUUUGAUCUAUGACAUCACUGGUUGUGAAAGCCAAGAGGAGACAUUCUACAACUGAAAUGUAAGUUCCCAGAUAUGAGUUGAAACGUAAAUUCCAGUAAUAUUCCUCCUCCAGGUGAUCUCUUAUUUCAUAUAAACCCAGCUUAACAAAUAUUCACCACCCCCACUGCAGCCAGCUUUGUGCAGUUUAAAAGCAAUGAUGCACAACUAAUUGCUGGUGCAUUGUGCUCAGUUAUAGCAGCAGUGAAUGAUUUCCAAAAGUUGAUUAUUCUUGGAUGAAUGAUUUUCUUACCUCUGGUCCAUGCAGGAUUUACAUUUGCUGC